UGACCUCGGAUCAGGUAGGAAUACCCGCUGAACUUAAGCAUAUCAAUAAGCCA
rnacentral:rRNA from 1 species